rnacentral:rRNA from 1 species
GACGAACGCUGGCGGCGUGCCUAAUACAUGCAAGUUGAGCGCUGAAGGUUGGUACUUGUACCAACUGGAUGAGCAGCGAACGGGUGAGUAACGCGUGGGGAAUCUGCCUUUGAGCGGGGGACAACAUUUGGAAACGAAUGCUAAUACCGCAUAAAAACUUUAAACACAAGUUUUAAGUUUGAAAGAUGCAAUUGCAUCACUCAAAGAUGAUCCCGCGUUGUAUUAGCUAGUUGGUGAGGUAAAGGCUCACCAAGGCGAUGAUACAUAGCCGACCUGAGAGGGUGAUCGGCCCCAUUGGGACUGAGACACGGCCCAAACUCCUACGGGAGGCAGCAGGAGGGAAUCUUCGGCAAUGGACGAAAGUCUGACCGAGCAACGCCGCGUGAGUGAAGAAGGUUUUCGGAUCGUAAAACUCUGUUGGUAGAGAAGAACGUUGGUGAGAGUGGAAAGCUCAUCAAGUGACGGUAACUACACAGAAAGGGACGGCUAACUACGUG